UACAGAGGUCCCAAGCGUUGUUCGGAUUCACUGGGCGUAAAGGGUGCGUAGGCGGUCGGGUAAGUCUGAUGUGAAAUCUCACAGCUUAACUGUGAAACUGCAUUGGAUACUAUCCGGCUCGAGGAAUGGAGGGGAGACUGGAAUACUUGGUGUAGCAGUGAAAUGCGUAGAUAUCAAGUGGAACACCAGUGGCGAAGGCGAGUCUCGGGACAUUUCCUGACGCUGAGGCACGAAAGCCAGGGGAGCAAACGGG
rnacentral:rRNA from 1 species